rnacentral:rRNA from 1 species
AGUGAACGCUGGCGGUAGGCCUAACACAUGCAAGUCGAACGGCAGCACAGUAAGAGCUUGCUCUUACGGGUGGCGAGUGGCGGACGGGUGAGGAAUACAUCGGAAUCUACUUUUUCGUGGGGGAUAACGUAGGGAAACUUACGCUAAUACCGCAUACGACCUACGGGUGAAAGCAGGGGAUCUUCGGACCUUGCGCGAUUGAAUGAGCCGAUGUCGGAUUAGCUAGUUGGCGGGGUAAAGGCCCACCAAGGCGACGAUCCGUAGCUGGUCUGAGAGGAUGAUCAGCCACACUGGAACUGAGACACGGUCCAGACUCCUACGGGAGGCAGCAGUGGGGAAUAUUGGACAAUGGGCGCAAGCCUGAUCCAGCCAUACCGCGUGGGUGAAGAAGGCCUUUGGGUUGUAAAGCCCUUUUGUUGGGAAAGAAAAGCAGCAGGUUAAUACCCCGCUGUUCGGACGGUACCCAAAGAAUAAGCACCGGCGAACUUCGU